rnacentral:rRNA from 1 species
CAUGAUGAACGCUAGCUACAGGCUUAACACAUGCAAGUCGAGGGGCAGCAUGGUCUUAGCUUGCUAAGGCCGAUGGCGACCGGCGCACGGGUGAGUAACACGUAUCCAACCUGCCGUCUACUCUUGGACAGCCUUCUGAAAGGAAGAUUAAUACAAGAUGGCAUCAUGAGUCCGCAUGUUCACAUGAUUAAAGGUAUUCCGGUAGACGAUGGGGAUGCGUUCCAUUAGAUAGUAGGCGGGGUAACGGCCCACCUAGUCUUCGAUGGAUAGGGGUUCUGAGAGGAAGGUCCCCCACAUUGGAACUGAGACACGGUCCAAACUCCUACGGGAGGCAGCAGUGAGGAAUAUUGGUCAAUGGGCGAGAGCCUGAACCAGCCAAGUAGCGUGAAGGAUGACUGCCCUAUGGGUUGUAAACUUCUUUUAUAAAGGAAUAAAGUCGGGUAUGGAUACCCGUUUGCAUGUACUUUAUGAAUAAGGAUCGGCUAACUCCGUGCCAGCAGCCGCGGUAAUACGGAGGAUCCGAGCGUUAUCCGGAUUUAUUGGGUUUAAAGGGAGCGUAGAUGGAUGUUUAAGUCAGUUGUGAAAGUUUGCGGCUCAACCGUAAAAUUGCAGUUGAUACUGGAUAUCUUGAGUGCAGUUGAGGCAGGCGGAAUUCGUGGUGUAGCGGUGAAAUGCUUAGAUAUCACGAAGAACUCCGAUUGCGAAGGCAGCCUGCUAAGCUGCAACUGACAUUGAGGCUCGAAAGUGUGGGUAUCAAACAGGAUUAGAUACCCUGGUAGUCCACACGGUAAACGAUGAAUACUCGCUGUUUGCGAUAUACUGCAAGCGGCCAAGCGAAAGCGUUAAGUAUUCCACCUGGGGAGUACGCCGGCAACGGUGAAACUCAAAGGAAUUGACGGGGGCCCGCACAAGCGGAGGAACAUGUGGUUUAAUUCGAUGAUACGCGAGGAACCUUACCCGGGCUUAAAUUGCAGAUGAAUUACGGUGAAAGCCGUAAGCCGCAAGGCAUCUGUGAAGGUGCUGCAUGGUUGUCGUCAGCUCGUGCCGUGAGGUGUCGGCUUAAGUGCCAUAACGAGCGCAACCCUUGUUGUCAGUUACUAACAGGCUCCGCUGAGGACUCUGACAAGACUGCCAUCGUAAGAUGUGAGGAAGGUGGGGAUGACGUCAAAUCGGCACGGCCCUUACGUCCGGGGCUACACACGUGUUACAAUGGGGGGUACAGAGGGCCGCUACCACGCGAGUGGAUGCCAAUCCUCAAAACCUCUCUCAGUUCGGACUGGAGUCUGCAACCCGACUCCACGAAGCUGGAUUCGCUAGUAAUCGCGCAUCAGCCACGGCGCGGUGAAUACGUUCCCGGGCCUUGUACACACCGCCCGUCAAGCCAUGGGAGCCGGGGGUACCUGAAGUGCGUAACCGCGAGGAGCGCCCUAGGGUAAAACUGGUG